AAAUUGAAGAGUUUGAUCAUGGCUCAGAUUGAACGCUGGCGGCAGGCCUAACACAUGCAAGUCGAGCGGCAGCGGGGAGUAGUUUACUACUUUGCCGGCGAGCGGCGGACGGGUGAGUAAUGUCUGGGAAACUGCCUGAUGGAGGGGGAUAACUACUGGAAACGGUAGCUAAUACCGCAUAACGUCUUCGGACCAAAGUGGGGGACCUUCGGGCCUCACGCCAUCGGAUGUGCCCAGAUGGGAUUAGCUAGUAGGUGGGGUAAUGGCUCACCUAGGCGACGAUCCCUAGC
rnacentral:rRNA from 1 species